rnacentral:lncRNA from 1 species
CUCGCCGUCAGAAGCACUCUGCUUGCUGUGCUCACCCCUCAGCUGUGGCCACCCUGGUGCCACUCCUUCCCUGGCCACCAUGUCACGGCAGCUCAACAUAGACGCGUUACGGCAGAACUUCUGGAAGGAGGAAUAUCUGAGGGAAAAGAUGUUGCGCUGUGAAUGGGGCGGUACCGCUACCUCAACACUCGAAAACUGGACAUGCCAGAGACGCGAUACCUCUUCCCCAUCACCACCAGCUUCACGUAUGGCUGGCAGCUGGGCCCCCCAGUGAAGCAAGAACUGGUCUCCUGCAAGAUGUGCCGCAUUGAGUCAUUCUUCCGCAAGAACGGGGCCUUCGCACUGCUUGAUCCCCGAGACCUGGCCCUCUGACCGUGGGCCAGGUGUGGGCUUAGGGGAGGGAAGAAGAAAUAACAGGCCUCCUGGUGGGGCAAAGCUGCUGUGUGUGUCUGUGCCCCUCUGCUCUCCCUGUCCCUGAGGUUGCAUUCAGGCCUUUCUGAAACUAUCAGACCUGCAAGUUGCCCUCUUGCUUUUUCCGUAACCCUCAUCACUUUAAUCAUCCCUUUGAGGACUCAGCAAUGACCAGAGGGUGCUGGGAAGGGCGAGCACUACUUCGCAGGCACGGGAUCCUCAGCACCAGGGGAACACAGUAGUUCCAGGAAGUUCUGGGUGUUCCUGGGGAGAGAGCGGCUUGUCAUUUCGGAGGCCAGGGAAAGGGGCCUCCUGCCACCGCCACACCCCUCCUUGCCCGCCCCUCACCUGGCCCCGAGGGCCCGCAGCCGCUCCGUCCUCUCCCGAUGCAUUUGCUCCAGCUGCUCCCGCAGGGCGCGCCGCCGCCCAGCCGCGUCCUCCUGGCGGUGCGGAGCGCUGAGCGUCCGCGG